rnacentral:rRNA from 1 species
GUCUUUAGUCCUAUCUUAAGACGAUUCUUGUCCAUCGUCAACUCCUAUUUCAUCAGGCUAUCAACUUAUUGGGCAGACGUUGGUCUUCAUACAUAGUCUUUUGGUGGAGAAUUCAAAUGCGUAGAGAUGGAAAAAAAAACACCAACGAUGAAAGCAUACGGUUGGAUCAUUACCAACACUAAAAGACGAAAGCUAAGGGAGUGAUUGAGAUUAGAUACCCUGGUAGUAUUAGCCGUAAAUGAUGGAUGCUAGGCACUC